CCCCGACUUUCGCGGUCAGAGAAUGUGAACUUGCAUACGUUGCUGCAUGGAUGUGGUAAGGUCUUGUCGUGAGAUGGAGAGUUAGGUGUAUGCCGAGUGUAAAAUGAGUGCUGGCUGGCUGCAGUUCAACUGAUAAACUAAGGAUAUAUUGCUAUGCUAAGGAGGAAGGGGAGGAUGACGUCAAGUCAUCAUGGCCCUUACGUCCAGGGCUACACACGUGCUACAAUGGGGUAUACAAAGAGCAGCAAUACGGUGACGUGGAGCAAAUCUCAAAAAUGCCUCCCAGUUCGGAUUGUAGUCUGCAACUCGACUACAUGAAGUUGGAAUCGCUAGUAAUCGUAUAUCAGCUAUGCUACGGUGAAUACGA
rnacentral:rRNA from 1 species